CCAAACAGCCAAGAAGUACCGAGGGGGAGAUUUCUUCUCGUAAAUAAAAGAGGCGGCGAUUGCAAACAAGUCUCCGGCUGGAGAAAGCAGGCCGGGGAGCCGGCUCCCCUCCCCCUCUCGCCACCAACACCCCUCCCCCCGUUUUUUUGGUUAUCUCCCUGGCCCGGCGUCCCACCACUGACUCAGAGAGAGGGGGUGGAAGGAGGAGGAGAAAGAACUCGCGGGGGCUCUGGCGCCUGGGCAGAAGGAGGCAGGAGGAGAGCGGGGAGGCGAGAGCGCACGGCGGUGGAGAGCCCCUCGAUCAAUUUUCAUGCAAGAAUCAUUAUCGCUGCGGGAGCCAGGAGUUCGCCCUCCGCCAGGACCCGGGAGGAGAAUCCCUAAACCGUGACCCGGGGACUCGGGGCCGCCUUUUGUGGAACCCACGCGGGGCUGCGGCAACGCACACGCCGGCCUGCCCUGGUGAGCUCUCGGGCGAGCGGUUUCCCUCCUUUCUUUUCCUCUCACCCCUUACCCCGCACCCCACCCCUUAAAAAUCCCUGUUGCAAGUGUAAUCAAAUGCUGGAUAGCAUCUCCCACACUCUCCCUGCACUGGUGCAUUAUCAGAUCCGGGAAGGCAUGCUUCCAGGCAAAUAGACCUAAUAAAUGCUAUUACUGGGAUUCUGCAAGCCCCGGCUGCACCAUAGUAACGAGAGCCCCGGCUAAUUUGGUUUAAGAAAACGAUCAACUGCACAGAGACUGAGUGUGGAGCCUGUAUCUCUCCUCCCCACGCCGCCUCCCUUUCACACCAGCUCAAGAAGGCCCCAUGUGAUAAUUCCCCAAAUCGAAGGGGAAAAAACCCUGCCGCCAAACCACAUCCUGUGCGCUUAUUGUCCAGCCCAGCGAUUUUAAAGAGACAGGAUCCAUUUACCCACGUCCCCCCACCCCCCUUAAACGCACGCUGCAAAGCUGCCGCUUGAUGUGACAAUUUAUUUUCAAGCCCUUUUACCUCCUGAGGGGCCCCUCAGUGGCACAACUAGCCGGAAUCACGACUUGGUGACACUAAGGGGUCACCUUUUGACCCCAGAUACAAUCAUGGUUUGAGGAGCAGACCUGAGCCCGCAGGUACGCAUGGCGGGGCACCGCGGUCACGCCAGGCUUGGGUUCCUGCCAACGCUCUCCAACCACUGCGUAAAUCAGGGGUCCCCAGCGGCAGCCCCGGGGUCCCUGCUAAAUGCAGCGGCUUCAAAUGACAGUUGAACUCCCGGAAUACGAUACCCUAGAGAAAAGCUCCGGAGGGCAAAUUGGAGGAGCUUGGGAGAGUGGGGGGAGCGGCGUGCCUUUUGACCUCUCCAAGCCACUUGCCAAACCCUCGCCUACCCCGCCAGAAAAAUUCUUAAAUGAGCUGGGCGGAGCGCUCGGAGCCAAGGGAGGGGUGGCGCUCCUCUCCACCGCCGCCAGCGGCUCGGUGACUGCGGCGUGCUGGCGGACGCCUUCCGCCGGGGCCCGGCCGCCUGGGGUGCGAGGAGCGUCUUUGAGUCCCCCAGCUCGCUGCUGCGCCCCGCCUGGCGCCCCCUCCCCACAGGCGGCCGAACGCACGCGGGCGCAGAGGAGGGCGCCAGAGCUGCUGACCUGGAGGAAACCGGCCGCUCGGGGCCGCCCGCGCCCGCCGCCAGCCUCUGGCUGCUCCGCCCCGCGCUGACCCUGGAGGUCGCGCCAGGCCCUCGGCGCCGGCGGCCCUUUGUUUCCGGAGCUGCGUGGCGGCGCGCUCUCUGCGCCUCCCCUUGCACCCGCCGCCGGCGGCGGCCUGGCAAACGGGGCGGUGGGGUUGGGGUCCAGCACCUGCCCUCCCUGCCCCCACCCUGCGCGCCCCGCCGGGCCUCUGCUCCAGCCCCCGCUUCCCCCUCCCACCCAUUUAUCACACAUUUAUCACCCGUGAGCUGCACAAUCUGCGCCCCUGGGGGGCAGGGGGUGAGGGGCGGCCAGGACGCGGGUUAGACCAACCGGGUGAGCUACCGCCCACCCGCUAACCCCUCACAAAUUGGAAAAAUCUCCCAUCUUUCUUAGGGGAAAAAAAACCAAACUAUUUUUAAAAGACCCUAAACUAUCA